rnacentral:other from 1 species
UUCUCCCUACCCUGUUUGACAGUAACCCUUUUUCAACCCACAUCUCUUAUAAGGGAUUCCGAAUAAUCUUUCCAUGCGGAGUUGCAGGCCUCCCGUGAAUCAAAAACGGACGUUGGAAGCACAGAUGUAUGGAAUAGGAAACCCACCUGCUCUAACGUGCAGGUUAGCAAUGGGGUUGCAUCGGCAGUGGUGGGGAUUUA